GAUGAACGCUGGCGGCGUGCCUAAUACAUGCAAGUCGAGCGAACAGAUAAGGAGCUUGCUCCUUUGACGUUAGCGGCGGACGGGUGAGUAACACGUGGGUAACCUACCUAUAAGACUGGGAUAACUUCGGGAAACCGGAGCUAAUACCGGAUAAUAUUUCGAACCGCAUGGUUCGAUAGUGUAAGAUGGUUUUGCUAUCACUUAUAGAUGGACCCGCGCCGUAUUAGCUAGGUGGUAAGGUAACGGCUUACCAAGGCGACGAUACGUAGCCGACCUGAGAGGGUGAACGGCCACACUGGAACUGAGACACGGUCCAGACUCCUACGGGAGGCAGCAGCAGGGAAUCUUCCGCAAUGGGCGAAAGCCUGACGGAGCAACGCCGCGUGAGUGAUGAAGGUCUUCGGAUCGUAAAACUCUGUUAUUAGGGAAGAACAUACGUGUAAGUAACUGUGCACGUCUUGACGGUACCUAAUCAGAAAGCCACGGCUAACUACGUG
rnacentral:rRNA from 1 species